GAUAUUAUCAGAGGACAUACCCUUGUAGGUGUCUGCCCAACUCUGAGUCUGAGUAGCCAUGGGUGUAAUUAACUAAAAGCACCCACAAAACACCCCCGAAAUCCUCCACUGGUUCAAGCCAAUAUCACAAAACCACCAUAUCUGCACAGAUUUCCAACUCAGCACCAACUUCAAUAGGCUGAAGUCAAGCUGAAGUCAAGAAAUUGACCAACACCCAAGAUUCCACAUGUAAUUCCUAGUGAGUAGCCGGAAAUAUAUAGUAUUUGCAGGAAUACCCAAUUCAGUUUGAAGUAGAUUUCACACGAAAUCUAAUUUUUCUCAGAUGGGUAAGUCAAAAUGGUGUAGACUCGGAUGUAAGGAGCAAGAAAGAUUGGAUCUAAGAGAGACAUGGAAAAAGAACAGAGAAGAAAUUGAAGAUUGUGUCGGCGCUUAAAGAAAGAGAGAAAGAACACGGGAGAGAGAGAGAGAGAGAGAUGGACACAGCUGUGAAGGUUACUUAGAUUGGAAGAAGGGAGAGAAAGAACAAGCGUUCUUAUUCUCAACUCGUUUUACCAAAAUAAGG
rnacentral:misc_RNA from 1 species